rnacentral:lncRNA from 10 species
GAAACCAGUCACUCGUCCAGCAUAUAUUUAUUGAGUGUUUAUUAUGUGCCGGAUGCUGGAGUGACAAAAAAAUGAACAAGAUGUAGAUCCGGCCUUCAAGUGUAGCUGGUGAUUUUCCACAAAACCCUCUAUUAUUGUAUCUUAACAUCCAGGAGUCAGCCAGGAGUUACACUGAUCAUAAAUCGAUAACCUCAUUUCAAAGCUCAAACACAGAGAUGGCAAAUAAAGCCCUGGGCAGCACUGACUGAAGCAACAGAUGACUCAUUAAUAGCAGGAGGCAAUGAAUAACUUUGCCACUGAGAGUGAAAGAAAAUUCCCCCUUUGCACAAUGCCUUUCACUUAAAUAGCAUUUGGAUUUCUUAAAAUCCACAAAGUUUAUAUUAGAGCGUCAUCCAUUAAUGCUUUGGCUAGGAGGGGGUCUAUCGCCCUGGUUGGAGUGCAGCAGUGUAAUCAUAGCUCACUGCUGCCAUGAACUUCUGGGCUCAAGCGAUCCUCCCACCUCAGCCUCCCUGUGUGCUGGGAUUAAAAGUGUGAGCCACCGUGCCUCAUCGUAAGGGUCUUAAAAGAAACCCUAUUUCAUACUUUCUUGAUGCACUUGAUAUGGAUUAUAUAAAUCUAUGGACAAAAAUGACAUCAGUACAAUGGAAUAUUGGAGUUUUCUACCAUAAUCUCUGCAUAGUGCACUGAUUUUGACAAUCACCUAUGGAUGAAAAUACAUUUGCCAGAGUCUAGGAGUUAAAUGGAAAAGUUAACAGCACACCGUUGGAGAAAAAUAUCUGGGAGUAGAUGCAUUCAAGGGAGUAAGAAGAACAAUUACCUGCAUCACCUCACCCCCAGGGUCCACUUCUUAGUGCCAAGAUAGACUCCCUUCAGCAGGCAAUUUCUCCCAUGGGGAAAAGGAGAGUAUAAUGAGUGAGUAUCCAGCUUUUCCAGCUGUGUGAGGCACAUCCCAAGAAGCCCAUCUUUCUUUCACUCAACUCAGAAUAUUGAGGGUAUUAGCAUGGCUAAGUGGCUGGGACAGGGCAGUAGCAGGAAAGAAAGGAGAGGACUCACAGCAACCAGGACUUGAAACUCAGUACAGGGUACAUAUCCUUUGAAGCAUUUCACAGAGCCCAUCAGGAGGCCCACCCAUGAACCACUUGGGACACCAUAUCUGUAGCAUCUCCCUGCAACUGGCCCAUAGGAGCCCCCGAUGUUUUGUGCAUAUUCCCCUUCCCUUUCUCCUAUAGUCAGUUGCCUGCACAUGCACUCCAGAUGGUGAGUGUGAGCAUUUACCUACAGCUUUUGAGUACAUGCAGUCAGCAGGCUCAACUUUGAAGGAUUGGGAGGAAUACAAAAUUGAGCAUUUCAGGGCACUGUCCUAGAGGAAACAAACAGAAAGCUUUCAGGACCCAGUUUGGUUUUGUGGAUUUAAGAGAAGACACACAAUCAUCAGAAUUUCUUCUCCACCCAUCCAAGAAGUGUGGAUUGGGUGAAUCCAUAGAAAAGAUCUGAGAGAGCCUCAGAUUCCCUAUAGGCUCACUGUUGAAGAUAUUUCUCUCAAAUCCAGUCAGUAAAGACUAGAGAAAGUGACUCUUUCUUCAAAUGUGAAGACAGCAGUGCAAGACUUUGAGGAACAUGAAAAAUCAAGGACACCUAGUACCACCAAAGGAACAUAAUUUUCUGGUACCCAACCACAAAGAAAUGGAGAUACACAAAUUGUCUGACAAAGAAUUCACAACAAUUGUUUUAAGGAAGUCAGUAAGCUACAAGAGAACACAGAGAACUUAAUGAUAUUAAGAAAGCGACACAUGAACAAAAUAAGAUGUUCAACAAAAAGAUAGAAAUUAUUAAAAACAACCAUGAUUUUCGAGCUGAGAAUACAAUGAAUGAAAUGGAAAACACAAUAGAGUUUCAAUAGCAGACUUGAUCAAGCAGAAGAAAGGGUCUGUCAACUCAAAUACUAGUCAUUUGAAAUUAUUCAGUAAAAGAAAUAAAAAGGAAUGAAAAAUGCUUAUGCGAUUGAUGCAACACCAUGAAGAGUAGUCAUAUAUGCACUAUGGGAGUCUCAGAAAAAGAAAGAGAUAAAGGGGAAGAAAACUAACUUAAAGAACUAGAUCAGUCUCUCCUUAUCUGUAGUUUUGCUUUCCUUGGUUUCAGGUACAGUACAAUGAUAUGUUUUAAGAGACAGACAAUGAAAGAGAACAUGCAAAUAUUGACAUAAUUUUUAUUACAGUAUAUUGUCAUAGUUUUUCUAUUUUGUUAUUAGUUGUUAUUCUCUUACUGUGCCUAAUUUAUACAUUAAACUUUAUCAUAGGAAUAGUGGUGGUGGCCUGUCUGGAGUGGCCACUGCCAGGAUGCCAGCUGCAGCAGGGGAGGUGUAGCUGGGGCUGUGCACUCCGCAGAGCUGGGGGGGGCCAGGAACAGGUGAUCCUAGUGGGAGCCCUAUAUGCUACUGAGUUAGUGGGGUGGGAGCCUGUGCUCCCAGGCAUAGCUGCAGCUGCCCAGCCAUGGCUCCAGCCCUAGGCAUACCUGUGCUCUCAGGGGCCCUGGAAGUCCCCUGCCCUUACAGGCUUGGAAGUGCCUGCUCCCAUUCCCUGGCCUCUUUCCACUGCUGGCACCUGCUCUGUGGCAGAGCAAAGUUGUGGAUGUGUUGUGAUAGCUGAGCCUGGGAGCUGUUGUGACGUGGUCAGGUGUGUGUGUUCAGGGCAGUUCUGAUACACCAGACUCCCCACUGCCUUUGCCCCCUCUGGAAACUGCUUCUGAGGCUGAAACUUUGGAUAUUAAUGAGCAAGGAUGGUGGGGGAGGCCAGGACGGCUGAGGGCAGCUAGGUGUGGGCCUGUGGACACCCCUUAGUGCGGACAGUCUGGGUGCUGUGGAUGGCAUGUUGAUGGCAGCGAGAGGCAGACAUGUUCCUAGGUGGGAACGGGUGGGUCCCUGGUGAAACCUCACCUUCAAGCCAGGGACAGCUUGAAGCAUGGGGGCCUGGCUGCCAGUUCCGGUUGCAGUCUGUGACCUGGAGUGAAAACUUCAUUGAUGUCUUUCAGCCAAUUGGAUGGUGCUUUUUCCAGACCCACAAAUGGCUGCCCAUGGACCAAGCAGUAUGUACUUCCUCCAUUCUGAGCCCAUGAAAACCCCAGACUCAGUCAGACUCUGACACUCAUCAGGAUGACAAGCCUGCAAAUAGGAUCUACCCAUUUUGGGUAUGCACUCCACUGAGAGCUAUUCUGUCACUCAAUAAAGCUCCUUUCUGCCUUGCUCACCCUCCAGUUAUUCACAUAACCUCAUUCUUCCUGGAUGUGGGACAAGAACUCAGGACCUGCUGAAUGGUGGGAGGGAAAGAAGCUGUAACAUGUUCCUGGCCAGCUCACCAAGCUGCAGGUGGUGACAUACUCCUGGACUAUGGGAGUGAAGAGUAGUGACCCUUCUGGGGGCCCAGACCUUGAGAUUCUCCGAGCCAGAGCUGCAGUAACACUAUAGCUCUCCUGCCCUCUGCUGGUGCUGGGUGGCCCCCCAAUGCAACAGGACGCAGCAGCAGGCCUGGGCCAGCCCAGGAGCUGGGAGCCUGAGUGGGGUGGUGGAACUGAAAGGGCUAUAACACAAACCAACCAAAACAUGCCCCACUCACUUGCUGCACUGUGGGUGAGGAGAAGGAGAAAAGAGCUGCAGCCCUUCUAGGAAGCCAGACUUUGGGGCUCCCUGAACUAGGGCUGUGACAUGCUGUAACACCUUCUUUAGGAUUCUGCACUUCCUGGCCUCUCUGAGAUUUUGGAUGCCACCGUGUUCCCUUUGUCCAGAUGCUGGUGUCCGCAGCAGAAGCCACUUGUGAUAUAUCUGGUCCAGCUGCAGCUUCACAUGGAUGAGGUGCCUGUGCCGGUGCCUGUGCCAGUGCCUGGAGCUGCCCGCCCCACCACAGCAGCUAGCAUGCCUGGCUGUGUGCAGUGCCAGAUCCCACACUUGCUCACUCACACACACCUCACCGCUCCAUGCCUGGCUUGCCCUUGGAAGGAGUACGAUCCAGGCCGGUAGCAUGAGCCAAGUGCAGCCUGCCAGCCUGAGUGGACAGAACAAGCCCAGGGGGCAUGAACAAAACUCAAGCAGAAGCACUGCUGUCCACAGAGGUUUCUGGCUGGCAAAGCAACACCCUAAGGAUCCUAUGACAAUAGGUAUAUAUGUAUAGGCAGAAACAUAGUAUAUAUUGGUUUUAGUACUAUCCAUGGUUUCAGGCAGCCACCAGGGGCUUGGAAUGUGUCCCUGUAGAUAAGGGAGGAGGAUUUUAAUAGCUGAAAACUUCUCCAAUCUUGGGGAAGAUAGGGGCAUUUGGGUACAUGAGGCUUAAAUGUGCCCAAAUAGGUUUGACUUAAAGAGGACUUCACUGAGACACAUUAUAAUCAAAUUGUCAAACAUCAAAGAUAAUUUUGAAAGCAGUAAGAGAAAAGAAACUCAUCACAUACAAAGAAACCCCAUUAGACUAUCAGAUUUCUAAGCAUGAAUCUUGCAGGCCAGGAGAGAGCGAGAUGACAUAUUUCAAGUGCUGAAAGAAGAAAGAAUUGUCAACCAAGAAUACUUUACCUUGCAAAACUAUCUUCCAGAAAUGAAGGAGAGAUAAAGACUUUGCCAGAUAAAGAAAAUAUGAGGGAUUUUAUCACCACUACAUAUGCCUUAUAAAAAAUGUUAGAGGGAGUUCUUCAAAUGGAAAAGUAAGGAUUCUAAUUAGUAACAUGAAAACAUAUGAAAGUGCAAAACUCACUGGUAAAGGUAGCAUAUAUUGUCAAGUUCAGAAUACUCUAAUGCUGUAAUGGUGGUGUAUAAACCACUUUUACUCUAGGAUAGAGGUGAAAAGACAAAAUUAUUAAAAAUAAUCACAAUAUGCUGGUGCGGUGGCUCACACCUGUAAUCCCAACACUUUGGGAGGCUGAGGCAGGCAAAUCAUGAGGUCAGAAGUUUGAGACCAGUCUGGCCAACAUAAUGAAACCCCAUCUCUAUUAAAAAUACAAAAAAUUAGCUGGAUGUGGUGGUGUGUGGCUGUAAUCCCAGCUACUUGGGAGGCUGAGGCAGGAGAAUGGCAUGAACCUGGGAGGCGGAGGUUGCGGUGAACUAAGAUCACCCCAUUGCACUCCAGCCUGGGCAACAGUGCAAGACUCCAUCUCAAAAAAAAAUUCACUAUAAUAAUUCGUUAAUGAAUAUACAAUAUUAAAAAAGUAAAUUAUGAUAUCCAAAACUUAAAAUGUGGAAUAGGGGAGUAAACAUGUAAAGUAUAUGCAAUCAAAGUUGAAAUCAGUUUAAAAUAGACUGUUAUAAAUAUAAGAUAUUUUCUGUAAGCCCCAUGGUAGCCACAAAGUAAAAACUUUAGUAGAUACAGAAUAAUUAAAGAUAAAGAUAAUAAAUUAAAGCAUGCCACUGCAGAAAAUCAUGAAAUUACAAAGGAAGAGCAAGAGAGGAAAAAAGGAACAAAAUAACUACAGAAGAGAAAACAAUUACCAAAGUGGCAAUAAUAAAUCCUAACGUAUCAAUAAUUACUUUAUAAAUGAACUAAAUUCUGUAAUCAAAAGACCUACAAUGGCAAAAUGGAUAAAAACAAACAAGUAAGAUUCAAUAAUAUGAUGUCUACAAGAGACUUGUUUUAGCUUUGAGGACACACAUAGGCUAAAAGUGAAGAGAUGGAAAAAAUAUAUUCCAUGCAAAUGGAAACUAAAAAAGAGCAGGAUGAGUAUCUGCUAUUUAUAUAACAUAAAAUAGAUUUUAAGUCAAAAACUGUGCAAAGAGACAAAGAUAUUUAUAAUAUAAUACAUAAUAUCUCUAUAAGCUUAUAAUCAUAUAUAAUGUAUAUUAUGUUAUAUAAUGUAUAUCCUUAUAUCUAAUAUAUAUCCUUAUAUCUUUAUAUUUAUUAUUAUAUAUGCCAUAUAUAACUGUAAAUAUAUGAUAUAUAUAAUUAUAAAUAUCUUUGUCUCUUUUUGCAGUUCGACUUAAAGUCUAUUUUAUCUUAUGUAAAUAACGGAUGUGUUUAUCUUAUUAUAUAUUUAUAUAAUAAGAAAGGGGUUAAUUCAUGAAAAGGAUAUAACAAUUGUAAAUAUAUAGGCAUCCAACAUCACAGCACCUAAAUAUAUCAAUCAAAUAUAAACUAGUCUGAAGGGAUAAAUAGAUAAUACAAUAAUAGUAUUUCAAGAUAAUAUGCAUGGUAGACCACAUAUAAUCUAUUGAAAUUGUAAAAAAUAAAGAAAAACACAAGAGGACUUCCUCAUAGUUACACAUUGGUGAAAAGAAAGUGUUCUAGUUACCACUCUUGUACAUUUGGUGGAUAUUCUCAAUGUCCUGCACUAUGCUAGGUCUUAAAGAAGUAUAAGACUUGCACAUGUAUCUUGAAAGAGUAGCUCAUUGCCCAGCAUAGAAAGAAAGAGGAGUAGAAAAUUUCAGGCAUGGAUAAAGGUGCAGAGGUGCAAAUAUAUAUACACUACUCAAUAGUAGGUAAGGGAGUAAUGGCAACUAACGUUAAGGAACAUUGUCUACCGUAUUGUGAAGGGUGACAAAGGUCAUGCGUACUAAUAUGAUGAUUAACUGUCUAUAGCAAGGCUAUGAGUAAAAUUUAAAUUAUAUGCAGCCUAGGUAUUGAAAUUUGACAACCAAUAUAAAUGAAUUCAUAUGUUUAUGAAACAUUCUUUAUUUCUUUUUAUCAAUGACCUAGUAGAUUCAGAAUCAAUUUUUCAGUGCUUUUCAAGAUAAUUUUGAUACGAUUGGAAAUAAAUAGUUCUAAAUAUUAAAAGAAAACCUGAAUUUUUGCAAUGUCCUUUCUAAAUUUAUAAACACAAAAUUUUCAUACUGCAGAGAUACUUGGGAAAAAAAAUAUUUGUUGUUUAUAUAUACUCACCCAGAAUCUACACAAUUACAAAUUUCCUUAAGUUUCUGACAGCAAAAAAGAACAUGAAUAACUAAAUACAGAGAAUCAUAAUUGGAACAUAUUCAAGAGGUGGAGAAUCUAUUUAAAACCGACAACUCAACAGAUGUAGUCUAGUCAAUGGUUAUAUUUGCAUAAGCAUGAAAGCCAAACAAACAUGUCUGAAAUCUCAUUGGUAAAACACUGUAUGAUUUAAAAAAUUUUGGGGGGGUUGUCAGAACUCCUUUUUAGAUUUAUUGCAUCCCCUCAACAGAAGAACCGACUGCCGAGAAAUUCAAAACACAUCCGUGAAAGCAGAAAAUUAUAAUGUGACAAGUGAAGAAUUGAAAUGGAUUCACCCUAAAAGCAGAGCCAAAUAUCAGCCAUUGUCAUGGGCCCCUAGGAGGACUGAGUCUGGUGAUGCACGAAUACCAGAAUGCAAGUGUGGUGCAAUGACAGCAAUAACACAUGUGUGCACCUUGAAGCCAGAGGGAUGGAAACCCCAGCCAAUGUCUCUUUCUCUUUUCAGCCAUGUAAAUUCCAAUCUUGAUCAAUAAGCAAUCCAGGUGUCAAUGAAAGUGGAAGGAAUACAUAUUCCUCCUCCCACAAAUCUUAAACAUUAAUAGCAGCAGGAUUCUCCUUUCACAGAAAAGCAUGAUUUUAAGGUUUUGGUCCCCACUGAACACAAAUUCCCAAGAUACAAAUAAAAGUACUUUGAUUUAUAGAUUAAUCCAGACAUUUUUAUGUUCUGUAGGCCUGACAUAUGCUUGACAGAAACCCCACAAGGUCAGAAAGUCCUGUUGUCUAAGAAAGAAUUUCUCUUCUGCUUUCUUGCUCAUUUUGGCCUGAGAGGAAGGUGAUACUACAGUUAGUUGUGGUCUUAAUAAAGAGCAUUGAAGUCAGAAUUCAUAAAUUUAGGCUUUUUUCUUUCUCAGGAAUUAUUGAAAAGAAUGGCUUACAAUUUUUUAAAAUUUAUUUUGGGAGAGAUAAUCAUAUUAUUUAGGGAGAGAGAUAGUUAUAUUAUUUUUCUGAAUCUCUCAAGCUUCACAUAACAGUGAAAGAUUCAUGAACCACUGAUUUAAAAAAGGUACAAAAGCAACAGUUUUUAAACCACCUGCUAUAUACUCAUUUGACAAUAUUAAGGGGCAAUGCUUCUGGUGUUUUCAAAGAAAUUGGAGUAGUGGGCAGGAGAGCUAUAAUUAAGGAGGAGCACUGCACUGGGAUUGGACCAAGGUUUUAUAUUAAGAACAACAUUCUGUUUUAUCCUAACUAGUGUAACUUAUUCAUUCCACAAACAUGUAUUGAAUAACUUCUGAAAAUAAGGCUCUUUUUGCCUUCAAUAAGAUCUCUGCAUGUAAAAGAAAAAUACUAGUACUAGUUAUACAAAAACUUUGAAAUAAUAUAUCAGCAGGAGGCAAAAUCAAAACAAAAUAAGGCCUGGUGUGGUGGCUCAUGCACUUUGGGAGACUGAGGUGGGAGAAUUGCCUUAGACCAGGAGUUUGAAACCAGCCUGGGCAACAUAGAGACCUUGUCUCUACAAAAAAUAAAUACACUAGCAGGGUGUGGUGGUGGAUGCCUGUAGUCCUAGCUACUUGGAAGGCUGAGGUGGGAGGAUCACUUGAGCCCAGAAGGUAGAGGCUGCAGUGAACUAUGAUCAUGCCUUUGCACUCAAGCCUGGGCAACAGAGCAAAACCCUAUCUUUAAGCAAACAAACAAACCAACAAAACAACAGGACCCCUGUCGUAUCUCUCCCCAUGAAUAAUAUAACAGGCAAUUUCUUGAAUAUUAAAACUGGUAUUCCUUAUAGAUUAUUACAGUGGCCUCACUUUAAACAGAAGAACCUGAAGCCCAAAAAGGUGAGGUCACUGCUUUAAAUUAAUAGUUAGAAAGCUGCAGAAUCAAACAGACUCAGUUCUCUAGAUUCCUAGCCCAGUUACAUUUUUUUAGUAUGACACUAUCACCCUUAACAACAACCAACAAAACCCAAACUGCUUAAAACAUUUUAAUCCAAGGCAAAUCUUUAGUUCUUCUGGUUUGCUGGAGUGGGAGGUGGGGUGGAGGGACUGGGGAAACAGUAGGAUGAGGCAGUGGAGAUUUAACAUUCUUGUAUGUGCUGGAGUGCUGUGCUAGGUGCUUCCAUUUUUAAUCUCUUUAAAUGCAAGAACUUUGUGAGAUCAGUGCUAUUCCCUCCAUUUUCCAGGUGAGGAACCAUGAGUCUCAGAGAAGCUAAGAAGUUUAUCCAGACACCCACAUUUUUGUUUGCUUUCCAUAUGCUGGAUGAUGUGUGUGGAUUUUCAGUGUGUGUUUCAGAGUCUUAAAAGCUCAUGCUAGCUUGCUUAACAUACCUGCCAUAACUCAUGAUAUAGAACCCUAUGGAGAACUGUGUUGCAACAUGGAUGCAGUGCCUAUACUAAGGCACAUUGCCAAGCUGAAGACUGUCAGAGAGCAUCACUAACGGAGGGUUGUUUCUCGUACUGGACAUAGGUCACCUUUGCUAACCUCUUACAGAAAUUCUAAACUUUGUGAGAGGAAAUGCAGAAAUGUGAGAGAAGAACAAGGAGCUAUGUGAAGAAGAGAGAUGGAAAUGGAUUGAGACUGUUGAAAUAGGAGAAAAUAUCUUGGUUUUGACAUCAUUUCCAAAGAAUCAUAGUUAUCAAAUAAAAAAUUUCACAAUUAUCCAAAAUUAUAAUAAAAAUUCAGUGGCUGGCAAAAUGGCUGAAUAGGAUCAGCUCUGGUGUGCAGCUCCCAGUGAGAUCCACACAGAAGAUGAGUAAUUUCUGCAUUUCCAACUGAGGUACUUGGCUCAUCUCAUUGGGACUGGCUAGACAGUGAGUGAAACCCAUGGAGGGCAAGCUGAAGCAGGGUGGGACAUUGCCUUACCUGGGAAGUGCAAGGGGUCAGGGAACUCCCUCCCCUAGCCAAGGGAAGCCAUGAAGGACUCUGACAUGAAGACUGGUGCACUCCAGCCCAGAUACUACGCUUUUCCCAUGGUCUAUGCAACCCACAGACCAGGAGAUUCCCUCGGGUGCCUAUGCCACCAGGGCCCUGAGUUUCAUAAAACUGGGCAGCCAUCCCGAGCUAGCUGCAGGAAUUUCUUU